AUUGAACGCUGGCGGCAUGCUUUACACAUGCAAGUCGAACGGCAGCACGGGGGCAACCCUGGUGGCGAGUGGCGAACGGGUGAGUAAUAUAUCGGAACAUGUCCGGAAGUGGGGGAUAACGUAGCGAAAGUUACGCUAAUACCGCAUAUGCCCCAAGGGGGAAAGGGGGGGAUCGCAAGACCUCUCGCUUUCGGAGUGGCCGAUACCGGAUUAGCUAGUUGGUGAGGUAAAGGCUCACCAAGGCGACGAUCCGUAGCUGGUCUGAGAGGACGACCAGCCACACUGGAACUGAGACACGGUCCAGACUCCUACGGGAGGCAGCAGUGGGGAAUUUUGGACAAUGGGGGCAACCCUGAUCCAGCCAUGCCGCGUGAGUGAAGAAGGCCUUCGGGUUGUAAAGCUCUUUCAGACGGAAAGAGAACGGUCACGGUUAAUAACCGUGGCUAGAUAGACGGUACCNAAGAAGAAGCACCGCAA
rnacentral:rRNA from 1 species